rnacentral:rRNA from 1 species
UGCAGUCGAGGGGUAUAGUUCUUCGGGACUAGAGACCGGCGCACGGGUGCGUAACGCGUAUGCAAUCUACCUUUUACAGAGGGAUAGCCCAGAGAAAUUUGGAUUAAUACCUCAUAGUAUAUAGCCCUGGCAUCAGGAUUAUAUUAAAGUCACAACGGUAAAAGAUGAGCAUGCGUCCCAUUAGCUAGUUGGUAAGGUAACGGCUUACCAAGGCUACGAUGGGUAGGGGUCCUGAGAGGGAGAUCCCCCACACUGGUACUGAGACACGGACCAGACUCCUACGGGAGGCAGCAGUGAGGAAUAUUGGACAAUGGGCGCAAGCCUGAUCCAGCCAUGCCGCGUGCAGGAUGACGGUCCUAUGGAUUGUAAACUGCUUUUAUACGAGAAGAAACACUCCUUCGUGAAGGAGCUUGACGGUAUCGUAAGAAUAAGGAUCGGCUAACUCCGUGCCAGCAGCCGCGGUAAUACGGAGGAUCCAAGCGUUAUCCGGAAUCAUUGGGUUUAAAGGGUCCGUAGGCGGUUUAAUAAGUCAGUGGUGAAAGCCCAUCGCUCAACGGUGGAACGGCCAUUGAUACUGUUAGACUUGAAUUAUUAGGAAGUAACUAGAAUAUGUAGUGUAGCGGUGAAAUGCUUAGAGAUUACAUGGAAUACCAAUUGCGAAGGCAGGUUACUACUAAUUGAUUGACGCUGAUGGACGAAAGCGUGGGUAGCGAACAGGAUUAGAUACCCUGGUAGUCCACGCCGUAAACGAUGGAUACUAGCUGUUGGAAGCAAUUUCAGUGGCUAAGCGAAAGUGAUAAGUAUCCCACCUGGGGAGUACGUUCGCAAGAAUGAAACUCAAAGGAAUUGACGGGGGCCCGCACAAGCGGUGGGACAUGUGGUUUAAUUCGAUGAUACGCG